rnacentral:rRNA from 1 species
UACGGAGGGUGCGAGCGUUGUCCGGAAUUACUGGGCGUAAAGCGCGCGUAGGCGGGCUUGAAAGUUGAUUGUGAAAGCCCUGGGCUUAACCCGGGAAUGGCAGUCAAAACUACAAGUCUUGAGUGCCUGAGAGGAUGGCGGAAUUCCCGGUGUAGUAGUGAAAUACGUAGAUAUCGGGAAGAACACCUGAGGCGAAGGCGGCUAUCUGGCGGUGCACUGACGCUGAGGCGCGAAAGCGUGGGGAGCAAACAGG